GCUCCGGUGGCAUCGUGGUUAGAGCGUCCGCCUGGGAUGCUGAAAGUCGUGGGUUCGAUCCCCGAUCGAGUCA